rnacentral:rRNA from 1 species
UACGUAGGGGGCGAGCGUUAUCCGGAAUUACUGGGCGUAAAGCGCACGCAGGCGGUUCGCCAAGUUUGGAGUGACAGUUGUCGGCUCAACCGACAAAGGACUUCAAAAACUGGUGAACUUGAGGACGAGAGAGGAACAUGGAACUCCAGGUGUAGUAGUGAAAUGCGUAGAUAUCUGGAAGAACACCAAUGGCGAAGGCAAUGUUCUGGCUCGUUUCUGACGCUCUGGUGCGAAAGCCAGGGGAGCGAACGGG